rnacentral:rRNA from 1 species
UAUCCGUCGCGGGCGCAGGAAAUUUGAGAGGAGCUGUCCUUAGUACGAGAGGACCGGGAUGGACGUUCCGCUGGUGUACCAGUUGUGCCGCCAGGCGCAUCGCUGGGUAGCUAUGAACGGCAGGGAUAAACGCUGAAAGCAUCUAAGUGUGAAGCCCCCUCGAGAUGAGAUUUCCCAUUCCUAUAUGGAAGUAAGACCCCUGAGAGAUGAUCAGGUAGAUAGGCUGGAAGUGGAAGUGCAGCGAUGCAUGGAGCGGACCAGUACUAAUCGGUCGAGGACUUAACCAA